CAACAAGAGCAGCUCAAAGCCUGCUUCGUCAGUCGUCACUCGCUGACAUUAGUGAAGAAAGCAGCAAGCGCGGCGCAUUAAAUUCGAUAAUCUAAUUGUUAAUCACGGUGUUUUCGGUGUACUAAAGGCAGCAACAUGAGAGAAAUUGUGCAUCUACAGGCCGGCCAGUGUGGAAAUCAGAUCGGAUCGAAGUUUUGGGAAAUCAUCUCAGACGAACACGGGAUCGAUCCGACCGGCCACUAUCACGGCAAUAAUGACCUCCAGCUGGAACGAAUCGAGGUUUACUACACGGAGGCCAACGGGAACAAGUACGUACCGCGUGCGGUUCUCAUCGAUCUGGAACCAGGCACAAUGGAUUCGGUUCGACAGUCUCCCUAUGGAGCACUCUUCCGACCGGACAACUUCGUGUUCGGACAGUCCGGAGCAGGUAACAACUGGGCCAAAGGUCACUACACAGAGGGUGCCGAACUGGUCGACAACGUACUGGACGUGAUACGCAAAGAAUCGGAAUCCUGUGACUGUCUGCAGGGAUUCCAGCUGGCACAUUCGCUCGGCGGAGGCACCGGUUCCGGGUUGGGAACACUACUAAUUUCGAAGAUUCGGGAAGAAUACCCGGACAGAAUUAUGGCCACAUUCUCCGUCGUGCCGUCACCGAAGGUUUCGGACACAGUCGUAGAGCCGUACAACGCCACACUGUCCAUCCAUCAGUUGGUUGAAAACACCGACGAGACGUUCUGUAUCGACAAUGAGGCGCUAUACGAUAUUUGCUUCCGUACACUGAAGCUCACCUCACCAACAUACGGUGACCUGAAUCAUCUAGUCUCUCUCACAAUGUCCGGCGUUACCACGUGCCUCCGCUUCCCCGGCCAGCUGAACGCGGAUCUGCGAAAGCUAGCCGUCAACAUGGUACCAUUCCCGCGGUUGCACUUCUUCAUGCCCGGUUUCGCGCCGCUCACUGCCAAGGGUUCGCAGCAGUACCGCGCGGUGACCGUCUCCGAACUGACUGCCCAGAUGUUCGAUUCGAAGAACAUGAUGACAGCAUGCGAUCCCCGGCAUGGACGCUACCUAACCUGUGCUGCCAUUUUCAGAGGCCACAUGUCGAUGAAAGAAGUCGACCAGCAGAUGUACAACGUGCAGAGCAAGAACAGCAGCUACUUCGUGGAAUGGAUUCCGAACAACGUUAAGGUGGCCGUGUGCGAUAUCGCUCCCCGUGGUCUCAAGAUGUCGGCGACGUUCAUCGGAAACACUACCGCCAUCCAGGAGAUCUUCAGGCGCAUCUCCGAACAGUUCACGGCGAUGUUCAGACGGAAGGCCUUCCUGCACUGGUACACGGGCGAGGGCAUGGACGAGAUGGAAUUCACCGAAGCCGAAUCGAACCUGAAUGAUUUGAUUUCGGAGUACCUGCAGUAUCAGGAGGCUUCCGUGGAUGAUUACGAGGACGGUGAGGAUGUGCCCGACGAGGAGGAGCCCCACCAGGUGGAAUAGUAGAAGCUACAGUGUUUCUGUCAGACAGCGCGUUGCCUUACAGCCAAACGUAAGAAGAAUGUGUUCCAUAUUUUCUUUUUCCUUUGUUUUAUUAUUAAUGACAGAGGUUAACAGUCCCUUUAACAUAGAAGACGAAAAUAUAUUUAAACUUGUUUUUUUUUUUUUUUUGUUCAUCUAUAAUUUAUUUGACACGGCACAAAUACAAUUUAAUGUUUAACGGCGCCAAUUAUAUCUGGUAGCUUACUUUCUAAAGUAUCUUAAUAACUAAAAGCAAAUUUUUUAUCCUCGCUGCCGACUACGAGCUGAAACUAAAUGUAAGCACAUGUUCCGCUGCUGGGCCAAGAUAUUACGGACUGACAUAUUGGGUUGUCUCCCUCGGGCCCUGAGAGUAUCGUGCGGGUCUGAUUGCUGUUUCCGGAUCCGGGGUCUUAACUGUUGUAGUAUACAACUUACAUCGGCUCACCCCUCACGGUACUUGGCAGCGCUGCAUUACGUUGCCGUUUUUCUCAAUUCCCUUUUUCAUUCUUGUAUGAGCAUCUACACAACGAGGUUAUAAUAAAGUUUGUCUGACGACCAUUA